rnacentral:rRNA from 1 species
AUUGAACGCUGGCGGCAUGCUUUACACAUGCAAGUCGAACGGCAGCGCGGGCUUCGGCCUGGCGGCGAGUGGCGAACGGGUGAGUAAUGCAUCGGAACGUGCCCAGUAGUGGGGGAUAGCCCGGCGAAAGCCGGAUUAAUACCGCAUACGACCUGAGGGUGAAAGCGGGGGACCGAAAGGCCUCGCGCUAUUGGAGCGGCCGAUGUCGGAUUAGCUAGUUGGUGGGGUAAAGGCUUACCAAGGCGACGAUCCGUAGCUGGUCUGAGAGGACGACCAGCCACACUGGGACUGAGACACGGCCCAGACUCCUACGGGAGGCAGCAGUGGGGAAUUUUGGACAAUGGGGGCAACCCUGAUCCAGCCAUGCCGCGUGCGGGAAGAAGGCCUUCGGGUUGUAAACCGCUUUUGUUCGGGAAGAAAUCCUCUGGGCUAAUACCCCGGUGGGAUGACGGUACCGGAAGAAUAAGCACCGGCUAACUACGUG